rnacentral:rRNA from 1 species
UGCCUACGGGGCGCAGCAGUGAGGAAUAUUGGUCAAUGGUCGGGAGACUGAACCAGCCAAGCCGCGUGAGGGAUGAAGGUACAGAGUAUCGUAAACCUCUUUUGUCAGGGAGCAAUGCCGGGCACGCGUGCCCGGAGGGAGAGUACCCGCAGAAUAAGCAUCGGCUAACUCCGUGCCAGCAGCCGCGGUAAUACGGAGGAUGCGAGCGUUAUCCGGAUUUAAUGGGUUUAAAGGGUGCGUAGGCGGAUUUUUAAGUCAGCGGUAAAAUGUCCGGGCUCAACCC